AAGACGGUUGGAGCAGGACACAUCAGGAUGAUGUUGCUUCAGGAUGAAGUGAAGGACACGCUCAGGAAGAGUGAUAAAGGAUGUGCCACAGGAUGUUGGCCAGGAUACUUCAGGAUGAAGUCAGGGACACCUCCAGGACGGAGAUUGAGAGCCAGUUAGGAUAACAGGCGGGUUAGGAAGACUGAGGAACAGCAUCAGGAUGAUGCAGGAUGAAACGUCAGGAUGAAAGUUGGACGAUACGACGGAUUGUCGGGAAAUGGAUAGCCGUACGGAAAAGUUUUCAUGGAUGAGCAGGGAGCACAAUGAGUAGCAGGAUUGCUAUAAGACGAACCGGGCGUACUGUGUAAAAACAGUACGCCUUUUUUUUUGC
rnacentral:other from 1 species